rnacentral:lncRNA from 1 species
UAUAAUUAGCACAAUAUAAUCAUGUGUGCCAAAAGCAGCCCAACUCCCUAAGCACGCACACAAGUAGCCCCUGUCUCAGGCCUCACUCCUCAACAACCCUUCUCGCUUAGUGACAUGCACGAUGCUGGCAUAGAGCCUGCACAGUAGCAGCCGAGCACGGCAGCACCAAGCCACUAACAGCUCCUUUCUCUCUCAACUCACUCUCACACGCAUGCAGCAUUAAGCCAACAUCACCAACCCCCCUUUCUCUCGCGCUCGCUCUGACACUCCAUCUUCGUCACCAUAUCACCCUCUGGUCUUAACUAUUUGCCAUCGCAGCCUCUUUCAACUGUUGCGAUCUC